rfam:Candidatus Lloydbacteria bacterium RIFCSPHIGHO2_02_FTLL_54_17 rifcsphigho2_02_scaffold_2518, whole genome shotgun sequence.
GCCCCCGUGGUGAAACGGAUAUCAUAUCCGCCUUCGAAGCGGCUGUUCCAAGUUCGAGUCUUGGCGGGGGCA